rnacentral:lncRNA from 1 species
CCCCUGCUCCCCCCCCGCCCCCCCGCCAUUACUUGUGGGAGGGAGCACACUUCUGUUCUCUGUGUGUGGUGUAGUCGAAGCAUGGUCCCCAAAGCCCUGGCCAGGGGCUCCCAGGGGCCGCCAGCCCUUGACCUUUCCCUCCAGACCUCCCUGGAGGCCAUCUGUACCUGGACCCCUGAAGGGCUGUUAGUUCCCCCUGGGACCUGCAUGCGCAUGCAGGUCAGACAGAGGUGCGCGGGGGUGGGGGGAGAGGACGGUCUUGCAGUGCAGUGGCUGGGGACACAGUCUGGCGUGGGGUGACCAGGCUGGAUCCACCCCAGCGUGGGGUGUGGUCUCCACCUCUCUAAUGAGGAAAGCACCACGUGUGGACUCCGCCCUGACCUCUGCCCUCGUCCCUUCCCUGUAGCAGACUGUGAGGAGCCCAGGAUGAGUUCACAGGGACAGGGGUCCCUAGCCAUGACCCUGUAACAGCCCCUCCCCAGGAUUUCGGGGGCCCUGGGCACCACCCACCAGCCCAGGCAGCAGGUCCCCUGGGGAGGAGGAGUGGGGGAUGUGACUGUCACGCACCUGGCCUCAGUGCCCAGCAGGAGGGCCCUUGUCUGGGGACCUGGUCCCUGUGAGGGACACAGGGUGCCAGGGGGGCGAGGAGGUCCAGAGAGGAUCAGGACAGAUGGAAGGGGCCCCAGUCCAAGCGCCGCAGCCGCAGCCUGCUGGGUGAUUUUCAGAGGGGUUCAAGCCACCUGCCACACUUCCCUGGCAGACCUUUGGAGUCCCCAAGGUCACCCUGGGCCACCUUCCAAGCCUCUUGGCUGGACCUGGGCUCUUACCCUCAGCUAGGAGAGGGGAUUCGGGACACUCCCAGGCCGCCGCAGCCCUGUUGUGACAGAAUUUGCUGUCCCAUUUCUGAGCGAAACAGGGAGGAAAGAAGAACCCCACCACUGCCCACGGGGAGCAGGGGGCCACAUGGCUGGUAGAAGCAGCAAAACCACAAGCCCAGCCGUCCCUGUCCCUCUCCAUAGACAGAGGGUGGAGGCCGCCCUCCUGGGAGGUGACGCUGGCGGGAUGGGAGGGCUGUGGCUCUUGGUGCCAGAGGAGGGUGGCCCGGCCCUCGGCAUCAGGACACUGCCGUACGUGGUUCUUACGCAUGUGUGUGAGCAUGAGUGUGCGCGUGCGUGUGCGGGGCCCGGCUUGGCUCAUUCAGUAGAGUCCAUGGGCCACAUGGACCCAGGUGACCAGGUGGGGACACCCAGCUGGCUUCAAGGCAGAGGGUGGGGUUGCCUGGGUAGGGGUCCCCAUUUGAAACUGUGGAAGGGCAGAGGUGUCCCUAGCCCGGGCCUGGACGUCCAUGCCGCAGCCGGGCCUGGCUGGGCCUCCCUGUGCAGUUGCCCCGGAUCACCCCCGUAUUCACGGGGGCAGGUUGUGGGCUGGGGCCCGAGCAGACGGCAGAGCCCAGCAGGCGAGCAAAUGCAGGCCAAGCCCAGUGUGUUUCUCUUUCCACUGCCUCAGUUUACCUGUAGAGAAAAUGGCCCAGGAAUAGUUGGAUGGGGUUGGCUCCAGAACAGGAAGGGAGUGAGAUGAGAAAUAACCCCAAGCCCUCUUGCUCUAUGCCAAAAUCAUUUCCGUUAUCCUAAGAUGGGGGGGUGGAAGGGGUGCGGGGUGCUCCUGCCCUCGGCCCCCUCGCCUGCACCUGGCGUGCCAUGUCCAGGUCACCACCAGCAGCCCUGGUGCGUCAACCCCCAGGCCUGGGUGAAGGGGACAAGUGGCCGGCCUGGCCCACCCCUGGGGCCCUCACGCUUAUUUUCUUUGUCAAACAUAGAACCUUCAAAAUUCACGUACUGUAUGAUGGAGAGAAAAAAGUACCUAAUGUUCCCCCCAAAAGACAGUAUAUUUUGUACUUUGUAAAGUGUUCAUUAAAAUGAAGGAGAAAAAAUGACACUGGCUGAUGACUGUCUGGUUUUGUGUAGGUUUAUCUGAGGGUCUUCUCUUCCCCUUUCUCCACGGUGGGGUUGGGGAAACAAAAGGCCUGGAGGUAUUGCAGUCCCAGUCUGAGAAACAAUCCCCUGGAGCGAGAGGGAUAGUGUCUGUCACCUGCUACUGCAGAACACGUUGCCUGCAACUUCGUGGCUUCAGGUCAUCGUUAUUCACAUAGCACAACCUCCAGGGGCAGGGAACUUGAGGGCAGUUGGCUCAGCUGUGCUGGCUUAGUCACUCCUGAGGUUUGGAAUCUUAGUCCAUUUUCUGUUGCUAUAACAAAGCACCUGAAGCUGAGUACUUUACGAAGGAGAGAUUUUGGUUUUUGCAGUGCUAAGGAUUGGGCCCCUGUACAUGCUGGGCAAGCGCUCACCACGAGUUCCUCCCCAGCAGAAAAGAGGCUUAUUUGGCUCAUGGUUUUGGACAUGAAGAGGUCCAAGAUGGGGCGGCCCUGUCUGCAUCACCAUCUGGCACGUGGCACCCCAGUGGUGGCAGGUGUGGAAGGAACAAUCAUGGCCAGAAGGGAAGCCAGCAAGGCUGCAGGGCCAGCCAGGCUCACAGGAACUAACAGGGUCCCUGAGAAUCCCUGAAUCCUUCCCAGGGACAGCACCCACCGCCGUCUCAAGGGCCUGACUCCUAAAGCAGUCGAGAGGUCAGAUGUGGUGGCACACGCCUGUGAUCCUAGCACUUGGGAAGCUGAGGCAGGAUGAUCACAAGAUUGAGUCCAGCCUGAGCAACUUAGUGAAACCUUGUCUCAAAAUACAAAAUUUUAAAAAGUGCUGGGGAUGCAGCUCAGUGUGAAGACUCUGGAUCCAAUCUCUGUAGUGGCAAGGGAAAAAACUCCAGAGCCCCACCACCCGCUAUGUCUGCGAAAACCCCUGUGGGUGUGACCAGGCCCGGCCCCAGCCACCACCCUGCCACGCACUCAGCAGUUACCAGGUGUCCUGGUCCUGCUGUGGCCACUUCAGAGCCCACCAACCACAGGACCGGAAGGGAAAUGAGCUUUCCAUUUGUGGGAACCUGGCUGUGUCACUGCAGGACCCCUGGCUCCACCCUAACACCUUGUGUCACCAGUGGAGCAGAAAUGUCCCCCAUGGCGCUCGCCCUUCAGAACCGGGGCUUUUCGGGUGACGAAUCACACAGACCCCACCUUCAUCAUACGAGCCCAGUAGUGACUCGACGCUGGGGCUGGUGGAGGUGAGGUCGCAGGUGUGGCCUCUGGGACAUCUGGCCCCUGCUGUCCCCACCGUGUCCCUUCGGCCAUGAAGCCAGCACCUCCUCUGCCAGGCCCUCCCCAGCAUGAAGCCGAGCGGCCGAGCUGCUGGGACCUGCCAGGGGAACCUCUCCUCUUCCGUCUGCACCCUUCCGUCCCCAGGGAUUUUUAUCACAGUGACCCGUGCCCCCUGUCCCACUGCCUCUCCACGGCCAUCUUACUCAGUGUUCACACUUCUGCCCUGG